UACGAAGGGAGCUAGCGUUGUUCGGAAUCACUGGGCGUAAAGCGCACGUAGGCGGACUUGUCAGUCAGGGGUGAAAUCCCGGGGCUCAACCUCGGAACUGCCUCUGAUACAGCAAGUCUUGAGUUCGGAAGAGGUGGGUGGAAUUCCUAGUGUAGAGGUGAAAUUCGUAGAUAUUAGGAAGAACACCGGUGGCGAAGGCGGCCCACUGGUCCGGUACUGACGCUGAGGUGCGAAAGCGUGGGGAGCAAACAGG
rnacentral:rRNA from 1 species